rnacentral:rRNA from 1 species
UACGUAGGGGGCAAGCGUUGUCCGGAAUCAUUGGGCGUAAAGCGCGUGUAGGCGGCCAGAAAAGUCCGCUGUGAAAACUCGAGGCUCAACUUCGAGCUGUCGGUGGAAACUUUCUGGCUAGAGUCCGGAAGAGGAGAAUGGAAUUCCUGGUGUAGCGGUGGAAUGCGCAGAUAUCAGGAGGAACACCAAUAGCGAAGGCAGCUCGCUGGGACGGUACUGACGCUAAGGCGCGAAAGCGUGGGGAGCGAACAGG